CGGGCCGUGGCGCGGGCGUUCGGGAUCGCAGCCCCCGGGAUCGGGCUGCGCCGCUCGGUCUUCCUGAUCGCGCCGGACGGCACGC
rnacentral:tRNA from 1 species